CUGCUGUUCAGUGCCAGCUCUGGACACCUCUGAGGCAGCAGCAGCAGCAGCAUGUUGCGAGCACUGGGGGUCAUGGUCCUCACCCGCUGCCUCCUCCUCUUUCUGGUGGCCCUGCAAGCCCAGGAUGCCCAGUCUGCUCCAAUGCAAGGGCAGGGAGCAGAUGUGGCCAAAGGAAGGCAUCUUCCAGCUCCUGAGCCAGAUUCCAUGUUGAUUCCAAGCUGGUAUCUCAAGGGGAAGAAUUCCCACGAGUUCCCUGAAGAAUUCUCUGAAGCACACCCCGAAAUUCCUGAGGAGAUCCAGACAGACUUGGAAGAAGCUCCAUCUGGUUAGCAAUAUAACCCACUCUGUCAACUGUAGAACCACACAAGCUGAGUUUCUUGGUUCUUGUAGGGAUGUGCUGUACCCUACAGAGCAGGAAGUGAUCAGUCAUAUCCUCACUGCAAGGACACUCCAUUUCACACCUUGCAUGGGCUGCUGAGC
rnacentral:lncRNA from 1 species